GCUGCCGCCCUGCCGACCCCGGGCAGCACCCGCUUCCGAGCACGGAUUAUGCCCUUUGCAUUGCCCAGGUUUCCCGGUGUCCAGCGCCCCCCUGCCCCAGCCGUCACUAAGGAAGGGAUGGAGAGGACCCGCUCGCACGCCGCUCCCGAGCACCCGCCUUCCCGCCCCGGACACGCGUGGGGGAGGGCCGUAUGCUCUCGGAAGAGCAAGUGGAUGGGAAAGGAGCCCUCUACAACACAAACCUCAUUGACUUAAUGGGUCGGUUUUGGGUUUCGCCUUCGAAAGGUUCGGGAAGGCGCAGCGUUGUGUUACUGCCCCGCCGGCUCCCAGCCUCCAGCCCCGGUUAUCGCCACGCCGAGACUGGGCUCCGGGUGGGGGGGAAAGCCUCUGGUUUUAUUUUGUCGCGUUAUUUGUUUCCCUCAGACCCCCACGCUUAAAGAAAAAAAAUUAAAUUUAUUU